GCUUGUGUGGCUCAGUGGAUAGAGCGUCAGCUCUGUGGACUGAAGGGUCCCGGGUUCGAUUCCCAGUCAAAGGCA
rnacentral:tRNA from 1 species